AUCCAGCUGACGAGUCUCAAAUGGGACGAAGCGUCCUGGAU
rnacentral:hammerhead_ribozyme from 1 species